rnacentral:rRNA from 1 species
GAUGAACGCUAGCGGCAGGCCUGACACAUGCAAGUCGAGGGAGAGGUUACCUUCGGGUAACCAAAACCGGCGCACGGGUGCGUAACGCGUAUACAAUCUGCCUUUCACAUAGGGAUAGCCCGAAGACAAUUUGGAUUAAUACCUAAUGGUAUAUAAGAGCGGCAUCGUUUUUAUAUUAAAGCUACGGUGGUGAAAGAUGAGUAUGCGUUCUAUUAGCUAGUUGGAGAGGUAACGGCUCCCCAAGGCGACGAUAGAUAGGGGUUCUGAGAGGGAUGUCCCCCACACUGGUACUGAGAUACGGACCAGACUCGUACGGGAGGCAGCAGUGAGGAAUAUUGGACAAUGGUCGGAAGACUGAUCCAGCCAUGCCGCGUGCAGGAUGAAGGUCCUAUGGAUUGUAAACUGCUUUUGUAAGGGAAGAAUAAGGACUACGUGUAGUUUGAUGACGGUACCUUACGAAUAAGCAUCGGCUAACUCCGUGCCAGCAGCCGCGGUAAUACGGAGGAUGCGAGCGUUAUCCGGAAUCAUUGGGUUUAAAGGGUCUGUAGGCGGGCUGGUAAGUCAGAGGUGAAAGCGCUUAGCUCAACUAAGCAACUGCCUUUGAAACUGUUGGUCUUGAAUGGUUGUGAAGUAGUUGGAAUGUGUAGUGUAGCGGUGAAAUGCUUAGAUAUUACACAGAACACCGAUAGCGAAGGCAUAUUACUAACAAUUAAUUGACGCUGAUGGACGAAAGCGUGGGGAGCGAACAGGAUUAGAUACCCUGGUAGUCCACGCUGUAGACGAUGGAUACUAGCUGUUUGGAGUAAUCUGAGUGGCUAAGCGAAAGUGAUAAGUAUCCCACCUGGGGAGUACGUUCGCAAGAAUGAAACUCAAAGGAAUUGACGGGGGCCCGCACAAGCGGUGGAGCAUGUGGUUUAAUUCUAUGAUACGCGAGGAACCUUACCAACGGGUUAAAUGGAGACUGACAGGCGUAGAGAUAUG